rnacentral:rRNA from 1 species
GAGUUUGAUCAUGGCUCAGAUUGAACGCUAGCGGGAUGCCUUACACAUGCAAGUCGAACGGCAGCACGGACUUCGGUCUGGUGGCGAGUGGCGAACGGGUGAGUAAUGUAUCGGAACGUGCCUAGUAGCGGGGGGAUAACUACGCGAAAGCGUAGCUAAUACCGCAUACGCCCUACGGGGAAAGCAGGGGAUCGCAAGACCUUGCACUAUUAGAGCGGCCGGAUAUCGGAUUAGCUAGUUGGUGGGGUAACGGCUCACCAAGGCGACGAUCCGUAGCUGGUUUGAGAGGACGACCAGCCACACUGGGACUGAGACACGGCCCAGACUCCUACGGGAGGCGAGCAGUGGGGAAUUUUGGACAAUGGGGGAAACCCUGAUCCAGCCAUCCCGCGUGUGCGAUGAAGGCCUCGGUUCGUAAGU